GUUUGAUUAUGGCUCAGAUUGAACGUUGGCGGCAGGCCUCAUACAUGCAAGUCGAACGGUAACAGAUCGCUGUGAGCCCCUCGGGGUGAACUUGAUGCUGACGAGUGGCGGAUGGGUGAGUAACGCGUAGGAAUCUACCCAGUAGCGGGGGAUAGCCCGGGGAAACUCGGAUUAAUACCGCAUACGCCCUACGGGGGAAAGGCGGGGAUCUCUUCGGAGACCUGUCACUAUUGGAGGAGCCUGCGUUGGAUUAGCUUGUUGGUGGGGUAAAAGCCUACCAAGGCGACGAUCCAUAGCUGGUCUGAGAGGACGAUCAGCCACACUGGAACUGAGACACGGUCCAGACUCCUACGGGAGGCAGCAGUAGGGAAUAUUGCACAAUGGGCGAAAGCCUGAUGCAGCCAUGCCGCGUGUGUGAAGAAGGCCCUAGGGUUGUAAAGCACUUUCAGUAAGGAAGAAAAAGCAGGGUUAAUACCCCUGUCUUAUGACAUUACUUACAGAAGAAGCACCGGCUAACUCCGUGCCAGCAGCCGCGGUAAUACGGAGGGUGCGAACGUUAAUCGGAAUUACUGGGCGUAAAGCGCGCGUAGGCGGUUGAUUAAGUGGGAUGUGAAAGCCCCGGGCUUAACCUGGGAACUGCAUUCCAAACUGAUGAACUAGAGUACGAGAGAGGGGGGUAGAAUUCAGAGUGUAGCGGUGAAAUGCGUAGAUAUUCUGAGGAAUACCGGUGGCGAAGGCGGCCCCCUGGCUUGAUACUGACGCUCAGGUGCGAAAGCGUGGGGAGCAAACAGGAUUAGAUACCCUGGUAGUCCACGCCGUAAACGAUGUCUACUAGCCGUUGGGGGGCUUGUCCCUUUAGUGGCGUAGCUAACGCGAUAAGUAGACCGCCUGGGGAGUACGGUCGCAAGAUUAAAACUCAAAUGAAUUGACGGGGGCCCGCACAAGCGGUGGAGCAUGUGGUUUAAUUCGAUGCAACGCGAAAAACCUUACCAGGCCUUGACAUCCUGAGAACUUUCUAGAGAUAGAUUGGUGCCUUCGGGAACUCAGUGACAGGUGUUGCAUGGCUGUCGUCAGCUCGUGUCGUGAGAUGUUGGGUUAAGUCCCGUAACGAGCGCAACCCUUAUCCUUAUUUGCCAGCACAUUAUGGUGGGAACUCUAAGGAGACUGCCGGUGACAAACCGGAGGAAGGAGAGGAUGAUGUCAAGUCAUCAUGGCCCUUACGGCCUGGGCUACACACGUGCUACAAUGGGGAGUACAGAGGGCCGCAAACCCGCGAGGGGGAGCAAAUCCA
rnacentral:rRNA from 1 species